GGAAGUAUGCCCUUUUCCCCUCCGCUCCUGCUCCAGCAGCAAGAUAUGAUCCCAGCACGGAGGGACGCCAAUAAGGUGUCCGAUAAGAUAAGUCUUAUAAAAUAUAUAGGUUUAUGAUAGUUAAGACUGAGUUAGCAGAUGAGAAGUCCUAGUCAUUGGCCAAGCAGCAUUGUACCUAAUACAAGUUUCUAUGUAUUCAUAUGGGCCUAACUCGGGCAGGCGGCUGGUGUAAAGUUCACAUGUGGCGGUGGGGCUCAGGCGGCAUUUGGCAAAAAAUUUAUCGUAACAGCCCAAUAUAGAAGAAUGCAGCUAGAUCCAUACCUACCAUUUCCCACAAAACUCAACUCUAAAUGAAUCAAAGACCUCAGCAUAAAAUCAGAUACACUGAACAUGAUAAAAGAGAAAGUGAGAUACAGCUUAGAACUCAUUGGCAGAGAAGACUUCUGAACAGACACCAUUAACACAGGCAGUAAGAUCAGCAAUUAACAAAUGGAACCACCUGAAAUAUAUAAAGAACUCAAGAAACUAGGUACCAAAAAAUAAUAAAAUAAAGUAAAACCAAGUAAACCAAUUAUAAAACGGGGAACAGAUGUACACAGAAUUCUCAGUAGAGGAAUCUCAAAUAGCUAAGAAACACUUAAAGAAAUAUUCAACAUCCUUAGCCAUCAGGGAAAUACAAAUCAAAACUACUUUGAGAUUCCAUCUUACACUUGUUACAAUGGAAGGUCAAUAACACAAGAGACAGCUCACAUUGGCAAGGAUGUAGAGCAAGGGAAACACACCCCAUUGCUGUGGGCGUGCAAACUUGCACAGCCAUUAUGAAAAACAAUAAGAUGGUUCCUCAGAAAGAUGGGAAUCAAUCUACCUCAAGACCAAGUUAUACCACUCUUGGGCAUAUGCCCAAAGUAUGCUUCAUCCUACCACAAGGACACUUGCUCAGCUGUGUUCAUUGCUGCUCUAUUCAUAAUAACCGGAAUCUGCAAACAACCUAGAUGCCCCUCAACAGAGAAUGGAUAAGGAAAAUGUGGUCCAUUUACACAAUGGGGUAUUUAUUACUCAGAUGUUAAAAAAGCAGCACCAUGAAAUUUUUUAAGAUGGAUGGAACUAGGAAAAAACCACCCCGAGUAAGGUAACCCAGAUCCAGAAAGAUAAAUAUGGUAUAUAUUCACUUAUAACUGAAUAUUACCCAUCAAAUAGAUAAUAGCCAUAGACCCAGAGAGGUUAGGAAGGAACUGAGGAGGCACAUGGAUCUCUCUGGCAUGGGGAAAUAAAAUAUAUUUUCUGGGUGUGUUGGAGUGGGUUUAAGAAUGUUUUCUAUCAAUCUUGCAUUCCUUCAUUUCCCUUAGGACUUUCUUCAGAUGCUAACUUUUUGGUGAGGCCUACUGACCUACAAAUUUGAACCUGCAGUACUCUCAGUCAGUAUUCAUGAUCUACCACCUAUUUUGUUGUGAUUAUAUUACUUAUUUUUAGGUUUCUCUUCCUUUUGCCGCAUGAGUGGGUUCUUUUUCGUGGGCAUAGGUUUGUAUUGGCUCUGCUUUCAAGGAAUCCUUAAUCCCUUGGAUUGCAUUUAGCAUGCUAGUUGGUGUUGAGAAAAAUGAGCUUAUCAAUUCAUAAAUCUUCAUAACACCGGGUUCACAUAUUUUAAAAAUAAACACUGUAUUUCAAAUGUAGCUGCCAAUUACGCAAAUGGAAUAUUAGAACAAAAUGUGUGAGGGGCUCCGGAUUCUACAAAACACAGUUUGCAGACUCCUGCUCAAUGCUGUGUCAGGUAGUGCUCAAUGCUGAGUCAGGUAGUGCUCACACAACCCAACUGCACAUUCAGUUCACCUGGAACAUCCAUUUUUUUCAAACAACUAGAAGUAAACCAGACACUUAUGGCAAAGUGUGUAAAAUCCCCAGCUAGUUCUUGCUGGGGGCAAUGGGAAGACAAUAGCCAUUAUAUUUCUCAUGUGGCAAAGGUGAAAAGUCAGAGCAAAAAAUGUUUAUUAUAUUAUAGGUCUUCCUUAUUCUUUUUCUAAGAGAAAAUGUAUAACCCUAAAAAUGUGGGUGGAAAUUGAUACUGAAACUUGUUUAAGAAAAAGAACAACACGUAAACUUAGGAUAAUCUAUCCACAUAAAACCAGGGAAUGGAAAUAAUUCCUUUCAUAGAAUAGGAUUUUAGAAUAAACACUGGUGCUUGGCAAUUAUUCACCAAGAGUAAAGGUGUUCUAAUUACCAGUUGCAACUUGUAGCAUUUAAAUUUGGCCUUUUCAGUUUUACCUACUAUGUUAGAAACAACUCAGGAUUAAGUGCCAAGUCUUGUGUUUUUAUAGGGUGCUGUUCUCACAGUAGUUACUGGAUCCAGCCUUUGUAAUCAGAGUUAUAAGCUAAACAAAAGCAUAACUAGAGCUAUAAACAUUAAACAGACCUAUAAAUUUAAAAAUGCACUGUGGCAAAAUGCUGAAAUGCUGUUUGCCUCAAUAGCUUCUUGAGACUUAUUAAUUUAAAAUUUUUAAAUAUUUAAAUGUAUUGCUUUAUUAUGAUUUUUUGCUUUGUUAAGUGGCCCAGGUUUGCUUCCACUCAAACAGCUCCUUUCUUCAGCUUGCCGAGUGCUGGCUUUGCAGAUAAGGUCUCAGUAUGUGUUCCAGGCUGGCUUCAAACUCAUUGGCUUCCUACUUGAGUCUCCUGAGUGCUAGCUUUAUGGGUAUGUACCACAACACCAGGCUUUCUUUGAAGUUUUCAAAGGCAAACAUCAGAACAGAACUGGAGGCACUAGCAUGUUUUCCUCGUUAACGCUUAGACUAAUUAUGUUUGAACUGGUAGACAGGCAGCUCAAGGGCAGAAAAAGAGUGUAGCUAUUACAAGUGUUUGGCAUUUGAGACAUCAAGCUCACAGCAAAGCUUCUGACUCAUGUCUGGAAUCAGCGCAGUAGAGAAUGAAGAGCACCAGGAGGGCAAGCACCAUUAGUGCUUUCUUCUGUUUUGCUUGCUGUUUCGCAGGGCUGAAGAUCUAAAUAACUAACAUACCUACAUUUUGUACAUUUACUUAGUACAUUCAAAAGUUUGCAUAUACCCCUGUGGCAGAGAAAGUGGUAUAAAGUAAGGAGGGAUUUAAAAAUCUUAAAGAUGAGGAGUGUGGCGUGCUGGAAGUCUUGUCUAACAUGCAGGGACUCUGAGUUCUAACCCUAACACUGCCAACAUACAAACAUAAAAUCGAGAAACAACCAAUGUUUCCCAACAAGGAGAAUGUAGUUUCCUUUGUCUAUUAUAAUUUGGAUAAUUCAUAUUGGACUAGUUUCUUUUCUUAUCUCUGACCAAAUACCUGACAAGCAACUUAAAGAGAAAGGAUUAUUCUCACGUAUCGUAUAGUUAUUGUUGUUCUCACUUACAGCUUAAGGAAUACAGUCAACCACAGCAAUGAAGGCAGGGCAGGGCGGAAAGGCAGGCAGACACAUAACAUUCACUGUCAGGCCAUGAAUGCUGCUGCUCUGCCUUGUGGUGAUAUUUUGUUUGUGAUCUCACAAAUAAAGCUUGCCUGAAGAUCAAAGAAGCAAAGCAGCUAGCCACUAGCGAGUUCUCACCUCUACCAAUGCUCAGACUGAAGGGGUGAUCAACUGAACCUCAGCCUGCACUGUUCUCCACCAAAUCUCAGAAUGCAAUCAGCACCUGUCUCCUCUCUUCUUAUAUUCCUCUCUAGUGCUGGGAUUAAAGACACAGGAUCCCAAGUGGUGAGAUUUUCUUUGUGUAAGCUCUGUUUCUCUUUUAAUACUAGAUCAUUUUUAUGUAGCUCAGGGUGGCCGUGAACUAACAGAGAUCCAUCUGCUUCUGUUUCCCCAGUGCUAGGAUUGGAGGUGUGUACCACCAAGGCCUGACCUCUGUGGCUAACUAGUAUGGCUGCUGCUGGCUUCUAUGGCUGUGGCUAGCUUUGCACUCUGAUCUUUAGGCAAGCUUAAUUUGUUAGAUCAUAAACAAAGUAUUACCACUCUUCCCCUUUGUCCUUUUUGUUCAGUCUGGAACCCCAUCCCACACUCCAGGGAGGCCUUCUUGUAAAUUGGCAGACACAAUUUUGGCAAUGGUUAAUCUUCAUUGUCAACCUGAUUGGCUUUAGAUUCACCAUGGAGGAGCACAGCUCUGGGUAUGUUUAGGUUUGUCUGGACAGGUUAAAUGAAGAGAGACGACCUACCCAGAGUGUGGGCAGCCCUGGCCUGGGGCUCCAGACUGAACAAAAAGGAGAAAGUGGGCACAGCAGCAUUUGUCUUCUAAUUGUGGAUGUAAUGUGAUCACCUACCUUUCCAUCCUACAUUCAAGGCAAUGAUGGUCUGUAUUCCUUAAGCUGUAAGUGAGAACAACAAUAUUAUGUAGCCAGUCCUGUCUCUGGCUAUCAGCUGCUGCUGAUGUGAUAUCCUGGUCCUUGAAGGAGUCCUACAUUGAUGUGUGACCAAAAGCUCAGUGAGUCCUGGCUAGAUCUUUCUUGCUUUGGCAAUCCAGGUGACCACUGUUGCCUUUCUGUACACUCCAUAGGAGAAAAAUGAAUGCUUGUUACUGUAAGUCUGACCAAGAACCUAUGGCUAUAGAGUUCACGGGCCCAGGUGUGAACUUACUACUAUUGCUAAAUGGGCAUAGUGUUGAACUGCUUUCUAAAUUCAUAUUCCUAUACACAUCGAUGCUGUCAGAUAUCAUCAGAUGAGCUGCUUUGUGCACUGAACAGUGGUUAAAAGAAAUAAUUGUCCAAAAUGCAGAGAAUAAGUGUCUGUGAAGCAUUCAUCUACAAAUGGGACAUCAAUAUCCCACCAUUUCCCAAGGCUCAGAGUCUGUCUUGGAAGAGGGGGUGGAGAAACUGAAGGAGCCAGAGGACAGGGAGGACCAGAGCAAAAUUACCUUAGGACUUGACAGGAUGACUACACUCAGGAACUCAUAGCAGCUGUGGCUACCUGCACAAGACCAAGCCAAUUAACAUUCCAGCAUGCAGAGGGGAGUGGCUCAUGAGUCCCACCUCUAGGUGAGGAGUUGUUGACAACUAAUGGCUUCUAGGAGCAAGGGGAGUCAGUUUUUCUUUAAAGGGGUAUCUUAGGGUUUCUGUUGCUAUGAAACGACAUCAUGACCGUGGCAACUCUUAUAAAGGAAAACAUUUAAUUGGGGUGGCUCACUUACAGUACAGAGGUUUGGUCUAUUAUCAUCAUGGUGGGAAGCAAGGCAGCAUGCAGGCAGAUAGAGUGGUGGAGCUGAGUGAGAAUCCUGACAUCUUGAUCCAAAGGCACAGGAAGUGAACUGAGACACUGGGUGGUAUCUUGAGCCUAUGUGAGACCUCAAAACCCAUCUCCACAGUGAUACACUUCCUCCAACAGGGCCAUACCUACACCAACAAUCAUAUUGUCAUACCCUUUGGGGGCCAUUUUCUUUCAAGCCACCACAGGGUGUGUGGCUCCUGGAAGGCCAUCAGCCUUCCAGUGGAGUCUCCAUAUCCAUGAAUAUAUAGACAGCACAAACUGGACUUGAUGGGUUAUUUAAAAAAAAAAAAAGAGGACACAAAGUUGGGAGAAAUUAAGGCGAGGAAUAGAGGACA
ensembl:lncRNA